rnacentral:rRNA from 1 species
GACGAACGCUGGCGGCGUGCUUAACACAUGCAAGUCGAGCGGAAAGGCCCUUUCGGGGGUACUCGAGCGGCGAACGGGUGAGUAACACGUGAGUAACCUGCCCUUGGCUUUGGGAUAACCCUCGGAAACGGGGGCUAAUACCGAAUAUUCACUGCUUCUCGCAUGGGGGGUGGUGGAAAGAUUUUUUGGCUGGGGAUGGGCUCGCGGCCUAUCAGCUUGUUGGUGGGGUGAUGGCCUACCAAGGCGACGACGGGUAGCCGGCCUGAGAGGGCGACCGGCCACACUGGGACUGAGACACGGCCCAGACUCCUACGGGAGGCAGCAGUGGGGAAUAUUGCACAAUGGGCGCAAGCCUGAUGCAGCGACGCCGCGUGAGGGAUGACGGCCUUCGGGUUGUAAACCUCUUUCAGCAGGGACGAAGCGUAAGUGACGGU